UAUAACAAUAAUACAAAAAAAAACAUGAUGGAAAUGAAUAAUAAAUCUUGUGAACAUGGAACCAUCAAGAAUUAUUGAGUCUUGAGGUUUGAACCAAGAACACGACAAUAAAAAGUGGAUGAUGGUUUACAACAAAGUUGUGAGACAAAAGUAUAUGGAAAAUACCAUAAUUCCUUUUUUAUAUUGCAUGCCUGUACAAUUGAAUUAAAAUAUGUAUAUACUUAUAAAUUGAGAACAUAAUAAUAUGAUGACUAAUAUAUAGUAGUAACAUACCAUUAAAGCAUCAAUAUAAUCAAAUAGCGACACAUAGUACCAUAUAAAAUUGUUUGAUCGUCACCAUUCUUAUUUUUACUUAUACAGGCUUUAUAUAGAUUAGUUUACAAAUGUAGGCACCUAUUACAAAUUCAUAUUGCUUGAGAUAAAAUAGAGAUAGACAUUUUGGUGUUAACAAUAAUUAAGAUCUAUCUCUAUUUUAAAUAAAUAUCUGAAAUACAUUAAUUUUUUUAAGACUAUAGUAUAUUAUACAAUAAAUAUUUGAUAUAGUUGCAGUUGCAGACAUACUUCUAAUUUCUUCUACUAACUCAAACACUUUUGGUGUUAUUUUGAAAGACUUAUUGUUUCAGAAACUAUAGGUAUUUGAAUACUUCCUGAUUUAUGUUUUCACAAAAUCCUGAGGAUUGAUCUUAAAUCUAUUUUGAUCAUUUUAGAAUUCUUACUAUGUAUUAGUUUGUACUGAAUUGUGUAAUUAAAUUUGUUUAAAUUUUAUAAUUUUAAAUCACAUUGAUUAUUUGAAGUUUUUUUUUAAUAGAAAAGUGUUCAAGUACCCUUAAAAUACCUAUUCUUUAAUGUAACGAGUAUAUGAUAUAUUACUGAUACAAAAUUCAUACAUAGAACUAUUUAAACUGAGUACCCAUAAAUUCUAGAAGAAACUAGAGAAAAUUUAAAUUGGUAUAAAAAGAAAAAUAAAAGUUUCGUGAUGUUAGUUUUUGGGGAAAAUUCAGAAUCCCUAAGGUUAAAGUACCUACGUUAUGAUUUAUUUUAUUUAUUUUGUUUUUUAGUGUAGCUCUAAUAUAUCACGACAACUAUUUUAAUAUUUUGUAGAUGUUGAAACUUCAUGAGUGACAAAUAUUAUAAUUUUAUUAGAUACUGUAAACUAGAACAAAUUGUAAAAUAGAUUUUUUUAUUUUCUAAAAUUAAAGUAGACUAACACAGCAAAUUAUGAUCAUGUUUAGAAACUGCGUCUUCUUAUCUGUGUAAAGAACGUACUAGUAUCACACUCACAUAUAAUAUGAAAUUCGCAUGACGAAAAUAAAUUUACAUAAUUAAAUAGGCUUGAACAAGUCCAAUAAGCAUUAUUCAGUUGCGAAAUCUU